ACAAAGAGCACAUGUUUUACAACAUUUUUCAUCAUAUCCAUCAUUUUCUCUCAUCUCAUUUUCAGCUCCUCUCGGCCUCUCUCACUCGCUCUCUCAGAGUCUCCCCCCCUCUCUCAUAGUCUCAUCCACGCACUCUCUCGGUCGCUUCACCAAAUAUUGGAUUCCAAAGUCUCUGAGCACGCUAUCUAGUGCGGUUCUCGGAUCGUCGUCUUCGGUGACGCAAUUGAAGAGGAAGCGGCCGGUGAAGCUUCGCAUUCCGACUGUAUCGACGGGAUUUGGGGCUGCUCCGGGGAAGCCGUCUCCGGCGGCGUGGAGAGAGCUGGUGGAGGAAGAUUGAGAAGGGUACUUCUCCGUAUAUUGUAACAAAGGCAGGAGAGAGGCUUAGGAGGAUUGGUACUCAGCCACCCUUAAUCUUCAAGGUGAUCCCAAACAGGGAAAGGAGAAGACUGCUGGAGAUUUAAAGGUGGCAGUUUGCAUAUGUAUCUUCCCAGCGAUCUUAUUCCUUUCAAAAAUAGAUGCGAUGUCAGUUGUAUAAUAUAAUAAAGUGAACUCACGCUAAGGGUUUAAGAUAUGUAACCAGCCAAUCAAGAUCCAAUGUGUUAAGUGUAGAAGUUGCAAUUCUGAGUAUCUUGGCUUUCAAGGAGAGUUACAGAAAAUGGGAUUCUGAUGUUGUAUUCUGUGUGAAAUUUAAGUUCUAGUCAUUGAUAGAGUUCUUGUAAACUCCA